rnacentral:lncRNA from 1 species
UUAGUUACUAAUCAUGAAAUAUAUUUUUUCUGCACAUUAAAUAUAAUCCUUGGAAGUCUAACCAUUGCGUGUUCUUUAGCUUUCAACAAAAUUCAGCAAACUAAAAUAUUGCUACAAAGACAAAAUGAAAACUUUUAACUAAAAGUUAAAAGAAUUUACCGAAACACUUAACGUUGUCUCAUUUAAUAUAAAUAACCAAAAUCACAUGAAUACUUAGAAGAAACGAGUUUCUGGUAACUUGGUAAAUGCAGUGAAUUGGCCUGAUAAACAGUCACAUCAAGAAACAAAACGUGGCUGGGCGUUGUGGCUCACACCUGUAAUCCCAGCACUUUGGGAGGCCGAGGUGGGCGGAUCACAAAGUCAGGAGAUGGAGACCAUCCUGGCUAACACGGGGAAACCCUGUCUCUACUAAAAAUACAAAAAAUUAGCCGGGCAUUCAUCUUUUUUGAGUUUUAAUUUUUUUCAUUUGUAAAAUAAGGAACGGACUAGAUUUACCCUACAGUUCUUUCCAACCUACCAAGUAAUUUUUUAUGAACUUAAGAUUGCCUCAAAUAUCUAUGUAUAGACUGAGAGAGGUGGGGUAAACUAGUAAAACCUUUUAAAAAAAAUUCAACUAGUACAUAAAACCCAACACAUACAUACACACACACACAUACACACACACAGCAUAUAUAUAUUAUAUGGCUUAAAGAAGGGGGUUAAUAGCAGAGCUUAUUGGCUGAAACAGGGAUUAGGAGACAAGCGAAGGAAGCUCAGACACUGUCCCUCCCUGGGUCUCUCUUUCACCCCUACCCACGAGGUGUCUCUAAGAACUCUCAGUCCCUCAAGUAACAUGAUGGACAGUUCAGUCAGGAGAGGUCCUCUACAUGGCUCACUAUGUGUCACAAUACAUUUUUUUUUUGAGACGGAGUCUUGCAAUGUCUCCUGGGAUGGAAUGCAAUGGCACGAUCUCGGCUCACUGCAACCUCUGGCUCCCAGGUUCAAGCAAUUCUCCUGCCUCAGCCUCCCUAGUAGCUGGGAUUACAGGCAUGUGCCACCAAGCCUGGCUAAUUUUUGUAUUUUUAGUAGAGACCGGGUUUUGCCAUGUCAGUCAGGCUGGUCUUGAACUCCUGACCUCAGGUAAUCCUCCCACCUCGGCCUCUCAAAGUGCUGGGAUUACAGGCGUGUGCCACCAUGCCCAGCCCACAAUACAUUUUAAGUGAAGUAACACACAUAUUAGGUUGAGAUACCAAUUCCCAAAGCCAGGGAGAUGAGGUAAGAUGUGGAGACACUUAAUGAAUCUAUUUUUUUUUUUUUUUUUUUUGAGACGCAGGUUUGCUCUUGUCACCCAGGAUGGAGUGCAGUGGCGUGAUCUUGGCUCACUGCAACCUCUGCCUCCUGGGUUCAAACGAUUUUCUCCUGCCUCAGCCUCCCGAGUAGGUGGAAUUACAGGCGAACACCACCAUGCCCAGUUAAUUUUUUGUGUUUUUAUUAGAGACAGAGUUUCACCAUGUUGGCCAGGUUGGUCUCGAACUCCUGACCUCAGGUGAUCCACCUGUCUUGGCCUCCCAAAAGUGCUGGGAUUACAGGUGUGAGCCACCGUGCCUGGCCUUAAUGAAUCUUAUAUGCAUAGAAAUACAUUUAAAAUAUUAUUUUGAGGGCAGGAAUUUGAAGGUGAUUUUUAUUUUCUUUUUUCACAUUUAUCUGCAUUUUCUAUUAAUUCUAUAAGAAAUGUGUGCUAGGUACACAAUAAAAAACCCAGAAAAAUAUAGCCUUAUUCAUUUAAAACAGUUCUCACCUAGAGAUGCACAUCAGAAUAUCCUGAAGAACUUAAACACACGCACACGCGCAUGCACACACACACACACACACUGAGUCCUACCAGUGACCUUGUGAAUCAGGAUCUUUGGGGAUGAAACUGAGGCAUGUGCAUUUUAAUAUGUUCCACAGGGGACUGUGUAUCAGACCGCUGGUUCAGAAUCACUAGGUUUUGUAAGCAUUAUGCUAUAGCACAGCUGUCAAAAAGCAUAAAGGUAACUCUUAACUCCUCAUCAUUUUAUAAUAUUUAAAACUGCAACUGGGAUUUAAAGAACUGUAAAGUAGGAAACAGUCUACUGUGCAAAAUCUUGAUAAUAGUUGAGAAGUCAAAUGGAGGGCAAAAGUAACAUUAAGGCAUUAAGGAAGAAAAUAGGUUUAGGUGAAUUUGCUGUUGAAAAAUCUCAGGUUUAAAUUAGUCACCAAGUUCAAUGAACCCAACAGUGAUGACCAAAUGGAAAAAGAGGCCUCCCUAAAGAGGGCACUUUGCUGCUAUGGCUGAGUCAGUACCACUUCCCUGAAGCAUUUCAUUCAGAUGUUCCAUUACCUCCUUUGCCACAAGAACAGGGUUAGACGUUACAAGCCAUAUAGGUUUUAAGCAAACAAAAAUGCACACUCGGAUGACCAUCCCCCAUCUGGAAAGUACCUUCCAAAUCCUAACACUUAAUAGUGUUCACUUUUCAUACAAACAAAUCCAGUAGAAUACCUUUGCAGCUUCCACCAUGCGAGCAGUGGAGUCAGCUAAGAGUUUUGCUGCUGCCAGGAGCUUCUUCGAAUUCUCCAUGUCGAUUUCGGCUUCUGCAUCUGACCUCAUGGCAUUGACGAGGUCUGAUGUGGCUUGGGCCAGAACCCGCGCCUGGCGCACCAUUUCACCUAGAAGACAGAAUAGAGGAUGAGGUCUGUUUGUCUGCUUUUCAAAGGUCAGUAAAACCUCAGGAGCCGCUACAGUCUUGUCUCUACUCCUCUGGUAAGCGGGAGCAAAAAAACUGAACCUCCAUGCUCUAGUCCUAAGCCAUGCAUCCAAAUUAGAACCCAAAAUGAAAAUAUUCCCUGCGGCUGCCAGGAUGCGGCUCCCCAAACACAUCCGGGUUCAACCUUUCACUAUGAGGCAUAAUCAGAACAGAAGCAGCCAAAGAGAAACACUAUAAAGAGAGGGCAGGGAACAAAAUUACAUGGAUUUAGCAUUAGUAAAUACUUAUUUAGAAAACAUUGCUUUCUUCACUUUGAAAACCACUUACACAAAAGCCUCUAUAAUAAACUUUUUGAAGAAUUGGCACAGAACAAAAUUACUUUUAAAUUCUGUAUUAAUGUGUAGGUUACCUAGCACCAGAUGAGGGAUAUCACACAAUCCAUUCAAUGUGUGCCAUUUGGCCUUCGCUUAUUAGCUUCAUGCUCAAAUGCUAUGACUUGCCUUGGCCUGGAGUUUUCUCUGCCAAUUUUCUCUCUGCUCAUCCUUUUUUGCCCAGCACUGAUUUUGAUCUUGCAUUAUUUUUUGGUCUUAUUGUCCCUGUGAUUUUACUGAAAUCUAUUUUAAUUUCCUUCUGGAAGUAGGAGGAGUAUAACAACCAACAUUAAAAAAUAGAACGAUUCAAAUCUUCCUCUAGCAAGAAAUCUUCCUCUAGCAAAGGUCAUCUGAGAAGAAUGCUGAAGCACUAUAACAAAAAGGGGGAAGAAGAAAGCUUUUACUAAAAUAAAAAUGUGCUGAAUUCACUGUGGUAUCCUGGACUGGAUCCCGAGACGGUAAAAGGACAUCAGCAGGGACAGGCGCGGUGGCUCACGCCUGUAAUCCCAGCACUUUGGGAGGCCGAGGUGGGCGGAUCACAAGGUCAGGAGAUCGAGACCAUCCUGGCUAACAGGGUGAAACCCCAUCUCUACUAAAAAUACAAAAAAAUUAGCCGGGCGUGGUGGUGGGCGCCUGUAGUGCCAGCUACUCAGGAGGCUAAGGCAGAAGAAUGGCAUGAACCUAGGAGGCGGAGCUUGCAGUGAGCUGAGAUUGUGUCACUGCACUCCAGCCUGGGCAACAGAGUGAGACUCUAAUUAAAAAAAAAAAAAAAAAAUCAGGAAAGCUAAAUACGUGCUUUACAAUGAUGACGCAUGGUGUCAGUGAAAUGAGUU